rnacentral:tRNA from 1 species
AAAUUUAAUUGUGCAAUUCAAUUUGAUUUGAUAAUUCUUAUCUUACUUAACUUUAUUUAAUUUAUUUAUGAGAAAU